GCGGAAUUAGCUCAGUGGUAGAGCACCACCUUGCCAAGGUGGGGGUCGCGGGUCCGAAUCCCGUUUUCCGCU
rnacentral:tRNA from 2 species